rnacentral:rRNA from 1 species
GACGAACGCUGGCGGCGUGCUUAACACAUGCAAGUCGAACGAUGAAGCUGGAGCUUGCUCCGGUGGAUUAGUGGCGAACGGGUGAGUAACACGUGAGAAAUCUGCCCUUGACUCUGGGAUAACUGCGGGAAACUGUAGCUAAUACCGGAUAUUUUCCUUGGUGGGCAUCCACUGGGGAAGAAAGAAUUUCGGUCAAGGAUGAUCUCGCGGCCUAUCAGCUAGUUGGUGAGGUAAUGGCUCACCAAGGCGACGACGGGUAGCCGGCCUGAGAGGGUGACCGGCCACACUGGGACUGAGACACGGCCCAGACUCCUACGGGAGGCAGCAGUGAGGAAUAUUGGACAAUGGGGGAAACCCUGAUCCAGCAAUGCCGCGUGAAUGAAGAAGGCCUUAGGGUUGUAAAAUUCUUUUGUUCGUGACGAUAAUGACGGUAGCGGACGAAUAAGCCCUGGCUAACCCUGUGCCAGCCGCCGCUGUAA